rnacentral:miRNA from 1 species
UGUCCCUCCUCUCCUUUCCCAG